GUUUAGCUAGUUGGUAGAACGUUCUACUGGAAAUGAAGAGGUCCCUGGUUCGAUACCAGGACCAGACG
rnacentral:tRNA from 1 species